AGUGAACGCUGGCGGUAGGCCUAACACAUGCAAGUCGAACGGCAGCACAGUAAGAGCUUGCUCUUACGGGUGGCGAGUGGCGGACGGGUGAGGAAUACAUCGGAAUCUACUUUUUCGUGGGGGAUAACGUAGGGAAACUUACGCUAAUACCGCAUACGACCUACGGGUGAAAGCAGGGGAUCUUCGGACCUUGCGCGAUUGAAUGAGCCGAUGUCGGAUUAGCUAGUUGGCGGGGUAAAGGCCCACCAAGGCGACGAUCCGUAGCUGGUCUGAGAGGAUGAUAAGCCACACUGGAACUGAGACACGGUCCAGACUCCUACGGGAGGCAGCAGUGGGGAAUAUUGGACAAUGGGCGCAAGCCUGAUCCAGCCAGACCGAGUGGGUGAAGAAGGCCUUCGGGUUGUAAAGACCUUUUGUUGGGAAAGAAAAGCAGCAGGUUAAUACCCCGCUGUUCUGACGGUACCCAAAGAAUAAGCACCGGCUAACUUCGUG
rnacentral:rRNA from 1 species